rnacentral:lncRNA from 1 species
AGUUAUAGCUGAAUUUGAUCUACUAAAGACACUAAUAUUACACUUGGUAUUGACAAAUUUAGUAUAAUCUUUCACUCAUCCUAUUACAUCUAAAACUGAAUUCCUCUUUAAUUAAUAGCCAACAAAAUUUUUAAUUCUAUAGAUCUUCUUCACAUUGUAAGCUUUUUAUUAAUUGCUCAUCUACUACAUUUAUCCCCUUUUCACUUGGCAUAUUAUCAUCAUGUCUGUUGCUGCUAAACCCCAAC